AUCAGUUAACGACUGUUAACGGUU
rnacentral:snRNA from 1 species